rnacentral:rRNA from 1 species
UGGUGGAGCGAUUUGUCUGGUCAAUUCCGAUAACGAACGAGACUCUGGCCUACUAAAUAGUUCGGGGACCCCCACAAAGGGGCCCCGCUUCAACUUCUUAGAGGGACAGGUGGCGUUUAGCCACACGAGAUUGAGCAAUAACA